UACGUAGGGGGCAAGCGUUAUCCGGAUUUACUGGGUGUAAAGGGAGCGUAGACGGUGAGGCAAGUCUGAUGUGAAAGGUGGGGGCUCAACCCUCAAACUGCAUUGGAAACUGUUUUACUAGAGUGUCGGAGAGGUAAGUGGAAUUCCUAGUGUAGCGGUGAAAUGCGUAGAUAUUAGGAGGAACACCAGUGGCGAAGGCGGUCUACUGGACGAUAACUGACGCUGAGGCGCGAAAGCGUGGGGAGCAAAC
rnacentral:rRNA from 1 species